CCUACGGGAGGCAGCAGUAGGGGAUAUUGCACAAUGGGGGGAACCCUGAUGCAGCGACGCCGCGUGGGUGAAGAAGCGCCUCGGCGCGUAAAGCCCUGUCAGCAGGGAAGAAAAUGACGGUACCUGACGAAGAAGCCCCGGCUAACUACGUGCCAGCAGCCGCGGUAAUACGUAGGGGGCAAGCGUUAUCCGGAUUUACUGGGUGUAAAGGGGGCGCAGACGGCGAUGCAAGCCAGGAGUGAAAGCCCGGGGCCCAACUCCGGGACUGCGCUUGGAACUGGGUGGCUGGAGUGCAGGAGGGGCAGGUGGAAUUCCUGGUGUAGGGGUGAAAUGCGUAGAGAUCAGGAGGAACACCGGUGGCGAAGGCGGCCUGCUGGACUGCAACUGACGUUGAGGCCCGAAAGCGUGGGGAGCAAACAGGAUUAGAUACCCGGGUAGUC
rnacentral:rRNA from 1 species